rnacentral:rRNA from 1 species
GACGAACGCUGGCGGCGUGCUUAACACAUGCAAGUCGAACGGAAAGGCCCUGCUUUUGUGGGGUGCUCGAGUGGCGAACGGGUGAGUAACACGUGAGUAACCUGCCCUUGACUUUGGGAUAACUUCAGGAAACUGGGGCUAAUACCGGAUAGGAUCUCCUGCUGCAUGGUGGGGGUUGGAAAGUUUCGGCGGGUGGGGAUGGACUCGCGGCUUAUCAGCUUGUUGGUGGGGUAGUGGCUUACCAAGGCUUUGACGGGUAGCCGGCCUGGGAGGGUGACCGGCCACAUUGGGACUGAGAGACGGCCCAGACUCCUACGGGAGGCAGCAGUGGGGAAUAUUGCACAAUGGGCGGAAGCCUGAUGCAGCAACGCCGCGUGCGGGAUGACGGCCUUCGGGUUGUAAACCGCUUUCGCCUGUGACGAAGCGUGAGUGACGGUAAUGGGUAAAGAAGCACCGGCUAACUACGUG